CUGCAGUGAAGGCACUUGUAGCU
rnacentral:ncRNA from 2 species